CCUACGGGGGGCAGCAGUGGGGAAUAUUGGACAAUGGGGGGAACCCUGAUCCAGCCAUGCCGCGUGUGUGAAGAAGGCCCUCGGGUUGUAAAGCACUUUCAGUGAGGAAGAACGCCUGGUGGUUAAUACCCAUCAGGAAAGACAUCACUCACAGAAGAAGCACCGGCUAACUCCGUGCCAGCAGCCGCGGUAAUACGGAGGGUGCGAGCGUUAAUCGGAAUUACUGUGCGUAAAGCGCGCGUAGGUGGCUUGAUAAGCCGGUUGUGAAAGCCCCGGGCUCAACCUGGGAACGGCAUCCGGAACUGUCAGGCUAGAGUGCAGGAGAGGAAGGUAGAAUUCCCGGUGUAGCGGUGAAAUGCGUAGAGAUCGGGAGGAAUACCAGUGGCGAAGGCGGCCUUCUGGACUGACACUGACACUGAGGUGCGAAAGCGUGGGUAGCAAACAGGAUUAGAUACCCGAGUAGUC
rnacentral:rRNA from 1 species